rnacentral:rRNA from 1 species
GUGGGGAAUUUUGGACAAUGGGGGCAACCCUGAUCCAGCCAUGCCGCGUGAGUGAAGAAGGCCUUCGGGUUGUAAAGCUCUUUCGGCCGGGAAGAAAUCGCGCUCUCUAAUACGGGGUGUGGAUGACGGUACCGGAAGAAGAAGCACCGGCUAACUACGUGCCAGCAGCCGCGGUAAUACGUAGGGUGCGAGCGUUAAUCGGAAUUACUGGGCGUAAAGCGUGCGCAGGCGGCGCCAUAAGACAGCUGUGAAAUCCCCGGGCUUAACCUGGGAACUGCGGUUGUGACUGUGGUGCUUGAGUGCGGCAGAGGGGGGUGGAAUUCCACGUGUAGCAGUGAAAUGCGUAGAGAUGUGGAGGAACACCGAUGGCGAAGGCAGCCCCCUGGGUUGACACUGACGCUCAUGCACGAAAGCGUGGGGAGCAAACAGGAUUAGAAACCCGGGUAGUCC